CCCUUGAGGUUCUUCUCGUGCCAAAUUUGGUUCUUGCAUCUUCUGUCUGACAUUCAUGGUUUUAGGGAUUGAAUUUUAUUAUAGUAUAUCGGUAUUGCUUCGAAGAUUGUGGUGUAUGGCUUGUGUUUCCCUUCUUGAUCAAGUUUUUUCAUGGUUUUCAGAAUUAUAUCGGUAUAUUCCAUAGAUUGUGGUGUAUGGCCUGUGUUUCCCUUCUUUGAUCAAGUUUUUUCAGGGUUUUCGGAAUUAUAUGGGUAUCGAUAGAUAGACUUUUGUCGGAUUGAAGAACACGAGUGUUAUCAGUCCUUCUGUUGGAUUGAAGAACACAAGAUAAUAUUUCUUUAAUUGAUGAUGACACCUUUUUGCGUAAUUUCUUUACAUCUUUUCAACUGGUCGGGUUCUCUGCAUAUGGAUGAUAUGAAAAGUAACAUGAAAAGCAUAAUAGUUCAGAACGGCCAAGGGUUCAGCAUAACCUAAGUCUUCUUUUUGUCUCCUUUCUAUUAUAUACUGUUUUUUGGUAUUGAUCAUUAUACAUGGGGAUUGAACUAUGAUCUCUUUAUCUGCAGUGGUGUUUGGAAAUAGUUUUGUACGUCCUGAAUUAAGACUCUGCCGAUUUCUUGAAUUUUUGGGCCGGAAAGUUUUGUGACUGAUCGCUACGAUCUGAUUUCGGAGCCUUUGAAAUUUGGUGUUUGUGUUCAUUCCUUUGCAGCACUUCUUUCGUCGGUCGAUGAACGUUCUUUCUCAUUUAAUUUUUAUCGACUUGAUCACCAAACAUAAGGAUUGAAUUGUGAUUUGUUCCUCAGUAGCAAACAUAAAGACUGGCAUUUGUAUUUAAGUUUUCUCAUCCACACAUAUUUUAUUUAUCUGUGACUAGCUAUCUGAUGACUUAUGUAUUCAAUUUGAAUUUAGUUAUUUAUUUGAUGACUGAGAUCUACCGUGUCUAUCUUUUGAUCUGCAUGUAUUCAUUGUUUUUCAGGUUGAGGAUUAAAAACCAUAAAUGUGAAUAUUGUUCUUGAUUUUUGAAAUCUGUCAGAUCUUGAUCUGUGAUUUUGUUUCCUUUUCAGCACUUUGACAGUUGAGGAUUAAAGAAUAAUAAUACAAUCAGGGCUGGAUGAGUUUCAUUUGUAUUUGUUUGAUCAGGAACUUCAAGUAUAAGAAUUCAAUCUUGAUUCGUUUCUCUGUAGAAGUGUUUGGAGGAUAUGUUUUGGGUUACGGGACUGAGAUGUGAGGGAACCUUAGAAAUGAAGUACGUGCAAAUGGUGGGUGGUGGGGGCAGGUUUGGGAAGGAUGCGGAGAAACCUUGGAUUGUAUUAUCUUGGCCUUCAUAUUUUUCUUUGCCAUUAUUUUUUAAGCUAAACACGUGGAGUGGGAGAUCCUCUAAAUAGGCGAUGUACGAGUGAGAGGCUUUGACAUUUGUGUUGUUGGAUCAUUGACUCUGUUGUGUUGAUUAUCUUCUUCUUCUAGUCUUGUCUAUUGGAUCGUACAGCCAAAAGCGGUAGAUUAUUUAACUCACUACAAAGCUUUGUUUUAUACUUACUACAAAGCUUUCUGUUUUAUUACGUUUCUAUUUACUUUGUGUUCGAGUUAGAAUUGUUGUUCUCUCUCUUAUUGGUUGUAGGAAGGUACACUUGUCAGCCAUUGCAAGAGCAAUAUUUGCAAAUGGUGGGUGGUGGUUGUUGGGUUUUGCGCAGCUUUCAAAAGCAAUGGAUCCGGUGAAACCUUGGAUAUUAUUAUCUUUGCAUUCAUAUUUUUCAUAGCCAUUAUUCUUCAAGCUAAACUUGUGGAGUAGGAGAUCUUCUAAAUACGCAUCGUAGGAGUGAGAGGCUGACAUUUGUGUUGUUGGACGUUGACUCUGUUGGUUUACAGUGAAGAUGUCUAUUGGAUCGUAGAGCCAAUAACUGUGUAUUAUUUAACUUACGAUCAAGCUUUAAGUUUUAUUAUGUUUCCAUUUGCUUUAUGUGCUUGAGUUGGAAUUUUGUUGUUGUCUCUCUUAUUGGUUGUAGGAAGGUACAUGUGUCAGCCAUUGUCUUUGUCUAAGCAAGAGCCUCUAAUGGAAAUUUCUCCAUUGGUUUUUAAUUGUUGUAUUUGUUUAUUCAUCUUAUCAUCUAGGUCCUUUGUCUUCUAACCCAUAUUGAUUGUAGUUUUCUUGUAUUAUGGGCUUUAUAGGAAAACUAAGAAAUGAGGUUGGUGCAGGGUGUUCAAAUGGUGAGUGGUUGACUGGUUCAACUGGUUCAGUAACAGUGGAUGGGUAUGGAGUUCUGGUGAAACCCUUUGUUUUAUCACGUUCUCAUUUACUAUUUUUCUUGUCUAUUUGAGUGGCUUUAGUCUCUCUUAUUGGUUGUAGGAAGAUACAUGUUUUGGCCAUGGUGUUUCUUUAAACAAGAGCAAUACUUGAUCACCGGACAUUAUGGUCAACUAUCCUGAUAUGGAAAUUUUCCCAUUGGUUUUCCAAUUCUUCAAUUUGUUUAUCAUCUUAUUAUCUUCGUCAUUCAUCUUCUACCCAAAUUGAUUAUUGUUUUCUUGAAUUGAUGGGCUUUACAUGCAAACUAAGAAAUGCAAUGUGUGCAGGGUGUGCAAAUGGUGGGUGGUGGGCUGGUUUUGGUAACGGUGGAUGGAAAUCUGGUGAACCCUAGGUUUAAUUAUUUUUGAAUUCAUUAUGUUCAUUGCCGUUAUUCUUCAAACUAAACUUGUGGAGUGGGAGAUCUUAAAAGUAGAUACUUUAUGCGUUACAUGCUUUGACAUUUGUUUGUUAGACUGUUGGAUGUUGAUUUUGAUUAAUCUUCUUCUACUCAUGUCACAGUUAAGAGGAUGUCUUUUGGAUCGUGGCUGCAGUAGUUGUAGGUUAACUUACUACAGAGCUUUAUGUCUUUUGUCAUUCUCAUGUACUAUUUUUCUUGUCUGUUUAAGAUGGAUUGGCUUUAGUAUCUCUUGUUGGUUGUAGGGAGGUACAUGUUUCGGCCAUGGUGUUUGUCUAUGUAAGAGCAAUAAUUGACAGUGGGAUCAUUAUGAUGAUCAUUAUAAUGAUCGAGUUUGUUUUGGAAAUUUCUGGAUUGCUUUUUGUAUUUUAUUAUUUUCUUAUCAUCUAGGUCACUUAAUUAUAGUUAAUUGAUGGGCCUUACAAGAAAACUAAGAAUUGAAGUGGGUGCAGGGUGUGCAAAUGGUGGGUGGUGGGCAACUUCGGAAACAGUGAAUUGUAACAAUGGAUGGAGGUCCGGUGAAACCCUUUGUUUUAUUAUCUGUGCUAACAUUAUUUUCCUUGCCCUUAUUUUUCAAACUAAACUUGUGGAAUGGGUGUUGGGUUGUUGGACAGUUGACUCUGUUGAUUAUCUUCAUGCAGUGAAGAUGUCUAUUGGAUCGUGCAUGCUGUAGGAGUAGAUUAUUUAACUUACUGCAAAACUUUGUUUUAUUAUAUUCUCAUAUACUAUUUUUCUUGUCUACUCAAGUGGCUUUAGUCAGUCUUAUUACUUGUAGGAAGGUACAUGUUCACUGGACAAUUACUUUCUCAAUUACUUUUUUAAUUAUUGUAUUUGUUUAUUUAUCUUUUCAUAUAG